rnacentral:rRNA from 1 species
AGUUUGAUCCUGGCUCAGGACGAACGCUGGCGGCGUGCCUAACACAUGCAAGUCGAGCGGGGAAUUUUGAGAAUUUUUGGAAGGUAUUUAUAAUUUCACGCGGGGCGGGGGGAAUAACGGUGGACCACCCUCCCUCCCCAGGGGGGUUACCCCCCAGAAGGGGCUCUUUAUCCCCCAAAAGGCCCUUUUUUUGACAGUGGGGUGGGCCAAAGGCCCAUCCGGUGGAAGAGUGGCUUCCUUUUGAUAAGUUAUGUGGUGAGUAACCGCCCCACAAGGGGGAGAUCCGUAGCCCCCCUGGGAGGGUGAUCGCCCACUUGGAACUGAGAGACGGUCCAAACUCCUUACGGGGGGCACCAGUGGGAAUAUUGGGCAAUGGGGGAAACCCUGACCCAGCAACGCCGCGUGAAGGAAGAAGGUUUUCGGAUCGUAAACUUCUAUCCUUGGUGAAGAUAAUGACGGUAGCCAAGAAGGAAGCCCCGGCUAACUACGUGCCAGCAGCCGCGGUAAUACGUAGGGGGCAAGCGUUGUCCGGAAUGAUUGGGCGUAAAGGGCGCGUAGGCGGCCAACUAAGUCUGGAGUGAAAGUCCUGCUUUUAAGGUGGGAAUUGCUUUGGAAACUGGAUGGCUUGAGUGCAGGAGAGGUAAGCGGAAUUCCCGGUGUAGCGGUGAAAUGCGUAGAGAUCGGGAGGAACACCAGUGGCGAAGGCGGCUUACUGGACUGUAACUGACGCUGAGGCGCGAAAGUGUGGGGAGCAAACAGGAUUAGAUACCCUGGUAGUCCACACUGUAAACGAUGAAUGCUAGGUGUAGGGGGUAUCGACCCCUUCUGUGCCGGAGUAAACACAAUAAGCAUUCCGCCUGGGGAGUACGGCCGCAAGGUUGAAACUCAAAGGAAUUGACGGGGGCCCGCACAAGCAGCGGAGCAUGUGGUUUAAUUCGAAGCAACGCGAAGAACCUUACCAGGUCUUGACAUCCAUUAAAAGCCAUAGAGAUAUGGUGUGAGCUUGCUCGUAAUGAGACAGGUGGUGCAUGGUUGUCGUCAGCUCGUGUCGUGAGAUGUUGGGUUAAGUCCCGCAACGAGCGCAACCCUUGUGAUCAGUUACUAACGGGUAGUGCCGAGGACUCUGAUAAGACUGCCGGGGACAACUCGGAGGAAGGUGGGGACGACGUCAAAUCAUCAUGCCCCUUAUGACCUGGGCUACACACGUGCUACAAUGGCCACUACAGAGAGCAGCGAAUUCGUAAGGAAGAGCAAAUCUCAAAAAAGUGGUCCCAGUUCGGAUUGUGGGCUGCAACCCGCCCACAUGAAGUCGGAGUUGCUAGUAAUCGCGGAUCAGCAUGCCGCGGUGAAUACGUUCCCGGGCCUUGUACACACCGCCCGUC